UUUGUGUUUAAGGUAAAUUAUUUUAACCUUGCUAUCAUGGUCAACCAGACGUUACAUGCCAUUCUAUACAAAACUAGAUGCAGACAUCCACCUGAUCUGCCACUGUGAAACAAGGAUAGGUGCACAGCCUGUGAAAGCCGGAGCUCAUCUCAUGAGUGCUCUUUCAGGUAGAGGUUUCCAUCAUCUUGCAACAGCCACCUAAUCACCUCAUUUGCAGGGCAUGUUUCUUUCUGUUAGCUAGUUAGUGUUAGUUUCGGCAAGUUUAGAAACAGUUCAAUAUUACAAUCUUAGCGAUACUCUGAAGCUCAUAAGGUGCCCCAUGAAAGCUCAAUGCUGCGAAAACCACUGAACUGAACAUACCUUGCUUGGACUUCUAACAAUGUGAUGGGUAGUGCAGACCAUCUACCUUUCCUCGUCUAAUCUAAUUAUGUGAUUAUGUACUCAAGAUUUAUGCCAAUUUGGGCACGGUUGCUUUCUCCACCAUCUCAGUACAUGAAUGCAACCAGCAGCAGCUAACAGCCCAAGAGCAGCAAGUGCCAUAAUUGUGGAAUCUUCAAGUUUCCAGCGAUAACCACCCUACAAAUAACAGAAUAACUUGCCUUAUCAGAUCUAUGAAAUUUUCAAUCAAGAUAUAAUGAUAAUUCCACUAUCUAACCCAAGGUUCCUGAAGAGGCAAGGGAUAAAGGAACAAACUUGUAGCAGAACUAAAAAUAUUGCUGCAUUUGCUGGUGCCAACGAGAAGCUUAUCAUGCCUCCACGCAGUUCAUUUGGGACAUACCUGCUCAAGUGGCAGAAUGAGAAUUACAAAUGGAUCCUUUAAAAGGAAACAAAAUUAAGUACAUAACCGUUGGCUCACAUUGUCCUCAGUCUUGCAAGUGAAGGUAAAAUGAAACCAACACAAGCAUGGUAGAUGCAGAACAGUAUUACCAGAGCACCAACCUCCUGCUGACAGAAAAUACUAAAAAAAAUAAGCCUAUAUAGCAUUAGACAGAACUUUGAACUCGGUUAUAUAUUGGUUCCAGAUUCAACUUGCAGUACCUGAUAAUCAUAAGAUACAAUUAACAAAGACAAACCAGCAACAACAUAUGCAGUUAUCAGAUAUUCUUCGUUACGAAGUGAUGAUACACCACCAAAGAACCAAGGAAAAAUAGUGCUCCCAAGCAUUCUGGAGCCAAUGAAACAUGGGUACAAUCGAGACAGAUGAACCUCCCUCCCAUCUCCCUGAAAUAAAAUAGGAACUGAGUUCAAUGCAUAAAAUCAAACCUAUAUGCAUAUGAACAGGCUAAUAAUUCUUCAAACGAUUUCUGUUGAUGCAAUCUUUUUUGUUGGCCAUUCCAAUAUUAAGCAAUGAAACAACAUGUCAAGCAGGCUGCAAGACAAUAUCAUGUCACGGAAGAGAUGAAUUUCAACAAAAUGUACAAGUGGGAUGUAUUUUGGUUACUCAUCUUCCUAUAUGACUUGUUCAAUUGCAUGGACUUUUGGAAUGUAGUUACAGUGCCUAACUUCUAAAAUGGAUUUUUAAAGAACACUUUGUAUAGAUCUGUAUCACCAGAUAUUUUAAUCCUACAAAAGUUAGCACUUGGAAUGAUUUAGUUAUACAAUCAAUAAUAUGUUAUAUUCUGGGAAAAAUCCUAGUGUGGGCAUUUUGUUUCGGUUACUUCUGAUAAAUACCUUGAAGGGAAGAAGUGUUAGAUCUAAGUGAUGCAUCUUAACACUAAGUCGAGAUUUCAAGAAAAAAUAUAGUGAAAUUUAAGUAUGAGCAGCCACUGGUAUCGUUGCUAGCGAACAUGGCUCUAGACAAUUGACAGUUCUGGACAACUUCAAGUAGUUACCCAUUACUUUACAAACUAGGAGUUAUAUCAAAACAGGCAUACUUGCAUCAUUUCCUUCUUGAACAUGUAGCACAACAAAUCUGACCAUGGCUCGCUAGUAAGAGUUUCUACUUAACAGAAACCAAAAGAUUCAAGCAAACUUUUGAGCAUGGUAUGCCGCACCAGUCCGAAUUGGACAAUAUGGAGCGUACCGUACCAUACCGGUUCAGCACCGGUACCCAAUACAGGUGGCAUACCGAUAUUCGGUAUGCUAAAAAAAUUUCGUACCAUACCGUACCAACACUUUGCUAGUAUGGAACCAGUACGGGCUAACCUUGCUCUCAAGAAAUGUUGGGAUGCUCUCCCAUAGAAGGUUUCAUUUAAAUUGCUAUUUGUCAAGAUAAAAAAGAUGUCAGAUACUCUUUACAGUGUGAGAAUAAUUUUUUGCAGCAGAAAUAAAAGGUGUUAGAAUGUCAUCUGUUUGUUGAUGCCUAUCCUUUCGUACCAUUUACAUUUUGUCAAUUAAGACCUAGAUUAAGAUCCAGUUGUCCGGAUUUGAUAUCGAAUCUGGUUAGGUGAAAUCAAAAGACAAGGGUUUGAGUCCUAGACUCAGGCUUUCUCGCAUCCAAGUUUUCUAAACUCAUACAUGAGUUGACUACACAUUUUGCAUUAAAUCUUUGACCAAAGAUUUAAUGAUCUCAAAAUCAGUAAAGAGUUAUUCUAAUUGAAGAUUCACACUAUUCAAGAUGUCUCCAUUACAAAAAAUUUAUGUAUUUUCUGGCCUCUAAUCUAUGCAUCAAAUGGGUAGAAAAGUAAGCAGUAUUUAUUGCACUAAUGUGCCGAAAUGCAUGAUGGGGUAUCUGAAUUGAUAACCCACCUCAUAGAUCAUGAUCUACACAACUUGUAACAUGGUAAAUUUAAAUUCAUUUGGUUUGAUGUUUAGAUCAUAAUAAAACAUAGUAUCAUAAUAUUAAAAUCCAUUUCUUUUUACACCCACUUGAUGCUUAGGUUAGAGACCACUGAAAUACAUGAAAUUUUUGUUUCUAUGUAUUUUUUGUAAUCUGGAUCAUCUUCAACAGUUUGUAUUUUCAAUUUGGAUGGUCCAUUAUUUAUUUUGAAUCACUAAAGCUUUUUCCACAUACAUACUGGCUUGAACUUCUAAAACAGUGAUAAAAUAUUAAAAUUUUUCAUACUUUGUCUAUAUAAGAAGAGCGUUAUACUUAACAGCAGAUUCAAUAGAUGUAAACAGGAACAUAAUAUUAUGAUCACAAUUGGUUUGUGUCCAAAAGAAUAUGCUUGUUUCAUUUCCAUCUUUUGUCAAAAUUAAAGAUCCUGCAGGUGUAAGGCAAAAUCAGAAAAUGCGAAUAUCUGAUGCACUAUCUUUCAUCUAUGUAAAGACAUUGUUAUAGUUUUCCAGCAUCAUUUGAAGUUUUAGCCAAGAAGUUUUCAUUUUGGCUAUAACAUCUUAAAUUUUGUCCUAUAAUCCUUAAGUGCCUCAACUGAUGUAUCUAAGGUGUGUUUUUAUCCAAGACAAUACGAUAUUGUUUAUCUAGGACAGACUAUGAAAGUUCCAGUGGCUUGGACAAAACAUAUAUAUGUUACAUUCUACUACGAGAAAUCAGGUCAAGUUAUAUGUACCGGCAAGAAAGCAAUUAAAUCAUGUAUGUCUCAAAUUGCUCCAAGAGAGGCAAGGAGAUGCUUCUAGGAUUGGGAUGAACCAAUUCCAAGAAAAUGAAUUAAGAAAUCACAUCAAAUAGUUCAAGCUCCUAUUCUGCUUUGAGGGACAAAGCUCACCACUGAAUCAAACUAAAUACCCAAUAUAACUUUCAUAUUUUGGAUGUCUUUGGCUGGUGAUGAAUUUGUCAAGAUUUUGUCUUCAUAAUGCUUAAAAUGUUUUUACAAUUAUCAAUUUUCUAAUGGGGAGUUAUAUCGAUAGCUUCCUACUUUAAGGAAUGCAAACCAAACUAGAAUUGUCUUUCGCUACAAUUACCAUAGUAAGUUUUAUAAAGAGGCCCAACAUGAAUGGAACUGUCUCGAACCACCUGGUUCAGAGCAUACCAAACCAUACUAGCGGCGAACCGGGACAGUUCUGGCCUCCGGAUUGAGAAAUCGGCAGAAGGGGAGAAGGAGAAAGAGAGAGGGGGAAAGGGAGGGAAAGUGGCUAGCAGCGGUCCGAAUAGGGGCGAGGGAGGGGGGAGAGAGCACUUUCGAACCUCUCCUCCGUGCAUCGAAACAGGGGCGGAGCCCUUAUUUCGAAAAGAAAUAGGGGCUUCCGCCCCUUUUUCUAUUUUUUUUGUACUUUUUAAGGGAAGUCAGUAGCUAGUGCUGACUUGACUUAUUAUUUUCUUCAUAAUAAUAAGUGACUGUGUGCACAACUUAAUAAGUAAAGUCGACAAUGGCUACCGACUUCACUUAAAAAAAAUCAAAAAAAGUAUAUAAAAAUGGAUAGAAAACCCUAUUUCAUUUGGAAACAGGGACCCCACUCCUGUCCGAUGCACAAAAGAGAGAUCUUCGAAAGCCCUCUCUCCCCUUCCCUCACCCCUAUUCAUGCCGCUACCCCCUCUCUCUCUCUCUCUUUUCCUACCUAUCCCUCUCCCCCUCCCUUCCAAUUUUUCCUGUCAGUUUAUGCCGGAACAGCAUGGCACAGGGGCAUACCAUACCGUCUUGCCAGCCAACCGACACGAAUGCAGGUUCUAGUAUUGCCUUGGUAUAUCUUAUUAAAAAAUAAAAUUAUCUUUCUAAAUGAUGACAAGUAUUGUUUAGUAUUUCUCACAAUUUUAUUACACAAAUAUUAAGCCACAUCGAGAGUAAUAAGAAAAAACAAAGCUUCAAUAUAAAUUCAGAUUAUGGUGGUUGGUUGAUAGAUAAUGAUAAACUUAGAUCUGCAAGUCGGCACAACAUCCUUUCACGAAAGAAGAAAUUGAAGAAAGGUCAACAGAUAGGAAUAUUCUUUUGCUAGAAAGGAUCCAUGCAUAAUUACUUGUUAACAAGUUCACAUCCCAAAGCAAUGUCACAUAGGUAGGCUUUCUUAUUUUCAUUGAGGAAGUGGUGACCAUGGUCAAAAACAACACAAAAGUGAACAAAGAAUUUAAAGUUUAAUUAUAGCCCAGUCCUAGAGUUUAUCUUGGUCACAUUUUGCAUGAACUUUGAAAGUGAAGAAAAGUUAGCAAGCCCAAAUCAUUUGUAUUUAGCAAAUUUGAGGCAUGGAGUGGCACCUGAAGAAGUGGUAAGACAUGCACCUAGUUCAAUAUCUUUGAAGCUGUAAUACAUGCUUCAGCCUUACUAAACGAUGCUAGCUUCGCCAAUUAAUCAAACAAAAAUGAGGAAACAUGGUGAGUUUAACAUAUAACAGUUAAUUGCUACCACUGGAGGUCUGGAUUCACAUAUACUGAUCUUCAAGCUAAUCCAUCACUGAUUUUUAUAACGAUCUUAAAAAUUCUAGUACAAAAUCAUAUGGGUUAUUUUGAGUAAAUUGGGCGCUUCACUAUUAGUUGCAUGACAGUCUAUAACAUUCUGAGGCAUAAGUAACUAUCAUCUAAGGUAUAUUUGGAAAUAUCACUGCAAAAAUCCUCUUUUUUUCAAUUGGAAAGCCGAGUGAAUAAAUUAUAGUGAAAAGUAAGAUACAUGAAUUGCGAACUUAUUUAUGCUCUAAAUAUUCCUGUUGUGAGCACAUAUACGGAAAUGCCUCCUAACACAUGAAUCACAAGCUGGUCAAUGAUAUUUGGAGUUUCUAUCGUUAGCUUGGUACUUCAUAUUGUUAACUCCAUGGUUCAAGUCAGCCUUUAGAAAGAGUAUUUAGUAGUUGUCUGUUAGAACUAAAUUCCAGUGUGUUUAAAAUUAGCUUUGGAGAUUAUGCCUCUAGAUAAGUUGAUCAGAAAUAAAUCUACAAAGUUGUGGAUGAAAAGAGUGGGAAGCACAAAACUAGGAGAUGGCUGAAAGACGAUAUUAAUAGCAUGUAAUUUCCAAGGAAGACAAUGUUGAGAAAUACAAAUGUCUUUAAAAUGUUAUGAGAAUUGUAUAUUACAAAGUUAUAAAAUAAUUCACUAAACAACAACUCAAAUCAUCAAACUAGACUAUGCGAAAUCAAUGUGGUUGAUCGAAAUCCUGCUGACGAUGACUGAUGAUGAUGAUGGAGCUUUGGAGCUCUCAUAUAAAUUAAUAGCUCAGUAGUUCUAACCAAACACUCCAAAUUUUGGGUUUUUGACAUGUCGGACACUUAGAUAUUUGGGACACUUUACAUGACCCUCCUUGACUCUUUCUAUCAUCAAGUCAUAAUAUCACCACCAUUACAUACCUACUUUUGGCAAUUCUACAUGAAAGUUAUUAAAUCUAACAUAUUAAUUAGCAAACCUUUUAUCAAAUUUGUGAACUAAAAGAGCAAAAGGUCCAACUAGUAAUGUAGACAUGGGCAUAAUACAUAAGCACAAACAUAUGCAAUAAAUAGAAGAAUCGCCAUGUUUGAUUCUUAAAAAGGUUCACAUGUUGGAAACUUCUGGACACUUGACCUCCAAAUCUGUGUCCAACUAACAUUGCAUCUCAUUGAUUUCUACAAUGCAAAUUUUAGGGCAAUUGACCUCAAUGUUCAUGUUAGCGGGUCCAAAAAUUAUGAUCAAUGUCUAUUGCAACCAAGGUUCACCGUCUCAGUGCUAAACCCCGUACCAGCAAGGAUUCACAAGUCCUGGCAGAAUGUCCGGUGGGACACCGGGAUGGGGUACCAUCAAGGUCCGCCAUACCGGUACCGGUCGGCGUACCGGUGGCGGCCCGGACCGGUACGAAACUGGUGGCGUACCGGUCCGUACCGGUGGCGUACCGGUCCGAACCGGUGGCGUACCGGUCCGAACCGGUCCCGUACCGGUUUUUCAACAGUAAACUACCGGUACCGGAUUGCACGCUGAUCUGGUACCGGUCCCAGGCCGGACCGGUACGUACCGGCCCGUACCGGCCGGUACGUACCGGACCAUGGGUACCAUCCUAUAUGUCAAGACCGGAUUAGCACGUCUUGGACAUCAACUGUCCCAAGUAUCGAGAUGGGGCGAAACAAUAGCAUGUCCUGUUCUAUGGAAAUAAAACCGAGACCUCGUCCCACGAGAUUUAAAACCUUAUUGGCAUCAUUUUAUUACAGUGUUGUUACAUGGUCUGGUACGAAACGGCGAGGCACACCAAGUGUCGAUAAGGUACAAAAUUGAAUGCCAGUUCGGUACAAUAUAGUAUGCCUGGUACGGUAUAGUACCAACCAGUAUAGUGAGCCUUGGUUGCAACCUCAGUUUUCAAAUUUUAUACCUUCCACUUGAAACACUCCUAUUUUAGAAUCUCUAUCAUAACUCAAGCACACAAUCAAGUCUGCACUAGAAUAGGCCAUAACUUAUUAUUUUUCGCUCUUCAAUACAGACAAGGAAUUUGUUAAGAUGGAUAUUCAAUUAGUAUAAAUCAAUGUCCCAACAACAAAUUGUUAAUAGGUUUAAAACUAGCCACCCAGCUAAAACUUGAGGCUCAUGUAAGUAUCUUCCAUACUUUCAGUUUGAGUCCCCACUUUCCUAUGUCACUAGGUAUCGAGUACUUAAGAAAUAAAUAUGAGAUUUUUAGAUCAAGCGACUCAAAUCCUUGCAACAAAUUUAAAAGAGACUAAAUCCUUGACUUUCAUUUGAGUUGCUAAGUUUACAAAGAUUGUUGCCAGUUAUAAUAAUUGCUGACUCUGAUGGGCCUUUGCAUAUUUCCAAGCUAUAUUAAAGUCGUACACAAUAUGCAUGAAGUCCUAAAAUAUAGCUCAUCAACCAGAGGUGUAGGAUAGCUACCUACCGUAAAGCCCUUUUGAUUUUCACAUUACUUUGCAACAAGGUUCGCCGUCUUAAUACUGAACCCCGUACCAGUGCCACACUAGCACAAUGUCGGUACGGUGUGGUAUGAAAUUUUUUUGAAGUACUGAGUGUCCGUACGCCACCCGUACCGGAUACCAAUACCGAACCGGUACGGUACGAUAAGCCCUAUAUUGAGUAGUUUGGGCCGGUACGGCAUACCUUGCUUUGCAAAAUCAUGAUAGAAUGCUGCUUGGUUGGAAGAUAAACAUCUUAACAUAUUUUAACAUGCUUUAGAAAUCAAUGAGCUACCAUCUCAUGGUAACCUUACAAAGCUAAGAAGUAAGAACUUUAUUUUUUUUAUGUGAAAGAUGUUAAAAGAACCUUAUUAACUAUAAGAAGAAAAAAGGCACUACAUUUUAAUAUCUACAAAGUUCACAUUGUUAUUAGAAACAAAGGAAACAACUAAGGAAAUAAGAGUGUCCGUUACACAAAUGACAUGGUCUAAGCUGAUAUUUUAGUAAGUUGAAAUAAUAAAACAUUUUAAAGUGAUGCUUGGUUUCACCCCAAUAGUACGACAUUCCAAAAAAAUUGUAUAUUUCAGAUCACUAGUCUCAAGAACGCAGCAUAUACCUUGUACAAAAUAUAAAAUGAAAACCAAAGCAUAGCAUGAAAUUUCUAUAUAACGUGGUAAACAGUUCUUAAUAAUCAAAAAGACAUACCACUAUGGUUGGUGCCCAAAGAAUCCAAAAAACUGACAUGGAAAAAUGGAUGCUUGAUUGAGCCCAUGAUAGCAUCCAAAUCCUUUUGUCUGGGAAGCCAAAAAAAAGCAACCAGCAGCUUAUAAUAGAGAACAAAAGGAGAUGUGAAAAGUCUUGCAAUGCUUUAAAGUUUCAAGAUACAGCAUUUGAUUGAACUUGUUGAAUAUUUAAUCAAUAGGUCAGGAUAUAUUCUAAAAGCAUGUGCAUCUAUUUUGGCUUACAUAACCAAAACUAGGAAAAUACAACCGAUUAAACUUAAAAAGGUAGUAGCCCCUGGCCAAGAAAGGAUGAGAGCGAGCAAGCAAUGAUAUUCCAAGUUGCACAAAAAUAUAAUUUUAUAGCCUCAGCCAGCCACCUUUUCUUAUAUCACUGGGACUCCUAAACUAGAAAUAUUAAAAAAGAAAAAGGAAAUAGUGAUGAAGCCCACCCAACAAAUUCUAGUUGGAUCCCUCAUGUUGAACUCUUUUAGGACUCCUAAAUCAGAACGAAAUAGACCAAAUACUUUUAAUUUUAAGAGCUCUUCUUGGCAAUUAAAGUUUCCCAAUGUUUGAAUGCUAAAUUGACACCAAUUGGCCAGCUAAUUGCAGCCCAAAUUGAUGCUAGAAAACUUCCAAAAACCUAUGACUAUAUGAAAAUCCUAUAGCUAAAGAAAACAAAAAUUGACUAACUAAUGGUCUGAAAAAGGAAGAACAAAACUGUUUAUAUUGCUGAUAUUUUUUAACCAGCAAGGAUCCAACAAGGAGAUUGCAUGGCUGCUCCUUGCAGUCCUUCAACCGUACCAUCUUGCCUUGACAACAAUGGUGGUGAAUGGUGACAACUUUGUCAUAUGGAAGCCCACGGAGGGACCAAAAGUGGGUGCCAUUCUUACAGUCCCUCUACUAAGUAGUAGGGUUACCACACAAACCUUGACUCUAUGCCACUGAACUGAGGCAGAGGUUGGAUUUGUUAAACAAGAGUUGGUGAGAAAAUAUUGUGCCCAAUGCGGAGAACAAGUACUUUUAGGGAAAAAAACUUUACCAUAGUCGUUUAGGUCAUUCUCUAUGACAGAUCUCCCUGCCCUGUUCUAGCAAGCAUAUGCCAUGUUGCUCUAAUAGUUUAUUUGUCGCCAACCAGUAUUAAUUUGGUGUGGCAUUGCAAAGACCCUUUUGCCUGUCAAGGGUCUUGAUGGCCUAAGCUAUUGCAAAAAGUUGUUGGAAAAAGUGUAUCUGUGUGUGUGUGUGUGUGUGUGUGAUCAAAGGUAACAUGAUGCUUAAUGCUUAUACCGCUUAUCUUUCCACACACACACACAACAAAAAAAUGAAAAAAAGAAAACCUAAUGCCCAAGGUAGAGAGGAACCGAACAUGUCAUCCUCAAUGGGGUAUAUGGUUAUUGGUUUAAGAUUUCAUUCAAGGUGGUUGCAGUCAACCCCAAUUUCAGGAAGCUCAAUGUGAAAAUCUUUGUUCCAGGUUUCAACAUAUAACAAGCAUGAGAGUAGGCUACACUGUUUGGAUGCAAUAGCAGUGGCAAACUAGAGAUUCAUUAACAAUACUGUUAAUGCUGAAGUUAUAAGAUCAUCAAUACCAUUUGCUCAGACAUGGAUAAUAUAGUUUUCACUGCCAAUGGCAAGGGGAUGGAUAGACUGGAAAAAUGAUUUUCUCCAUGCAAGAAACCUGAGAUUGCACAAGGUCAUGGCUACCUCAUGAGGCAUGUUGCUUCUUUCCUUUUGAAAUCUUAUUCCUCUUUCUAUAUGGAAAUGCCCUUAGAGUUGUAUUAUUAGUUGAGUGGGUCUGGAAAUUCUGUUACAUCUGGGUUGUUGUUAGGGUCGACAGAAUGGAAACAUCGAGCAUUAGCAUGACCAACUGUUCUAAUAGUUGCAGGCACUUGCAUCGUAUUGUAUUAUACAUUUUCACCUUGCAUCAGAAGUUAAAAGAAAAAAUUAAUGAGUUAAGAUCUCAUUUUUCAAUAAAAUAAAACCAAUAAGAAAGAAUAGAACCUAUUGAAAAGGUCAUCCUUCAAAGCAUGAUUAAGAGUAUGGAUCCUUUUAUAUGGAGCAUUUGUUUGGGUGUUUACUAGCCAAAAAUUCCAUGUGCGGUGGUGCCAACUUCAGAAGCUCAUACCCUACUUCAAUUAUAUCCAUAUAUACAAAUCUGAAAUUUUAAUUUUGGAUUUAGAGUUUGAAUAGGAAAACAAAAUGCAUAACUUUUCAAUUGAUUGGUAUUUAAGCACCCAAGAUCUUAAAUCAAUAUUUUAUAUCUGCAACACUUGGAUGAUAGCCAAAGCCAAGUCUGAUGAUUGACUUCAAACAUUAUGAAGAGAACCUUGAGCACAAUGAUCAAUUGUUGGUGGCAUGCAAUAACAGUUGGAGGCAAAAACGAGGCAUGUGGAUAAAAUGCAGUACCUUUGGAAAAGUCUGAUUUAAAUCUUGAAUUUGCGAAGAAUUUUUAGGGAGAUAAAAGAUGUCUUCUUUUUUCCAAAUAAAGACAACAACAGCCCUUAUAUAUGUGAUGCCCAAGAGGAAUAGUCAAAAAUAUGUCAGAAAAACAAAUGCUGAUUUCAGGAUCCAAUUCAAUGAUAUGUUGAUUCCUCUUUUCAAAAUGAACCGUAUGCUGAUUACAACAUCCAAGGAUGGCAAAAUGAAGCAUGAGGUACCAGAGAAUAACCUUUGUCCAUUUCUAGAGUCCUAGGGCAGAAACCAAGAAUCUUGCAACCCAUGGAUAGCAAAUAGCACCUAUGAAAGGAGAAGGUAGCAAACAAUAAUUUAUUGAAGUAUGAGAUUGGGACAGCAAGCUGUAAACUCAAGAGUUCCUCUUACAAUGCUAACAUACUGGAAAGUUAGUCACCAGGUUUCCCUAGUUGCCCAGCACAUUUGAGGCAUACUAGCAGCACAAAAGAGAAAAAAUUGGAGACGAGGUGAACUAGGAAGUUCCUUGAUUGGAUUUAGUUGAUGUGGAAGUGCAACAGGUUCAUUUCGGUGAUGUGCGAUCUCAAUCACUCCAUUAGCAAAAGCUGUGCAUAGCAUAAGAUGCAAACUAAGGCUGUGGAAUACGCUAGGAGACUAGUGGACGGUCAGACUGUCACCAAGUUCAAGCUCCAGCAUAAUGGAUGAAGCCUCAGCACCAUAGGAUGCCUAAGCCCAUCUGACACCAAAAUAGAAAUCAUCACAUGUUAAACACCUCAAUAGUGCACAUGUAAUUAUGUUUCAUAGUUAUAGUAGAAGAAUGUAUCAUAAGGCCCCAUUUGGCAAGAGUUGUUGGCAGGAGAGCUUUUUGAAGUAGAGCUUUUAUAAAAAGCUAUUUGUUGUUUGUUGUUUGGUAAUUACAUUUCUAAAGUGUUGUGAAACUUUAAUAUGUGUUUGAUAAACAAACUAAGAAAGUACUUUUGGUAUGACAAAAUGACCAUAAAGGAUAUUGUAUAGUAUUAUACAACAAAGCCUAAUAAAAUAUAAUAUGUAUUAAUAUAUAAAUAUAUAAUAUAGUAUAAUAUUGCUGUAAUAUAAUAUAAUAUUAUUAUAAUAUAGUAAUAUAAUAUUGUAUACUAUAGCAUAAUAAUAUAACAUAAUUUGAUAUUAUAUAAUAUAAUAUAUCAAUGUAUUAUGAUAUAAUGUAAUAUAAUAUUAUAUUUAUAAUAUAAUACAAUAAUAAAAGUAUAAAAUAUUACAAUUAUUAUCAUUAUAUAUUAAUAUUAUUAUUUUCUGUAAUUAUUAUAUUUUAUCAUGGGUAUUUUGGUUUAAAAAGAAAAAAUUUUAUAACUCAAAACAGCAUUUCAACGAGGCCUAAAAGUGCUUUUCCGAGCUUCUCCCAAAAAGCUGUUUUAGCUUUCCAGUAAAACUAAAACAACUUUCCGACUUUUUUACCAAACAUCCCUUUUCUAUCUAAAAGUGCUUUUGAGGGGCUAGAAAGUGCUUUCUGGCCCUACACUUUUUGGCCCUCCAAAAGCUCUACCAAACAUGGCUUAAGUCACCUUCCAAAGUCCACUCACCUAACAAGAAUAGCUUCAGGCUAAAACCUAAUACAACUUUCCGACUUUUUUACUAAACAUCCCUUUCCAUCUAAAAGUGCUUUUGAGGGGCCAGAAAGUGCNNNNNNNNNNNNNNNNNNNNAUGACAUCAGAAAGAAUGCCUGAGAAGGAGCCAAGAAGAGAGCAGCAGAAACCUAAUACAACUUUCCGACUUUUUUACUAAACAUCCCUUUUCCAUCUAAAAGUGCUUUUGAGGGGCCAGAAAGUGCUUUCUGGCCCUGCACUUUUUGGCCCUCCAAAAGCUCUACCAAACGGGGCUUAAGUCACCUUCCAAAGUCCACUCACCUAACAAGAAUAGCUUCAGGCUAAAACCUAAUACAACUUUCCGACUUUUUUACCAAACAUCCCUUUUCCAUCUAAAAGUGCUUUUAAGGGGCUAGAAAGUGCUUCCUGGCCAUGCACUUUUUGGCCCUCCAAAAACUCUAAUAGCACCUCCAUUUGAGAGCAAUAAUAAUUCAUAAACCAACUCAGCACUCUUCCACAACUUGUGCUUAAGGCAUGAAACAUAAAAUUGGAUGGAUUUGUGAUGAUGCUAGUAGAGCUAAAAAGUACGCUCCAGGCCAUUUUUUCCAUUGAUGAAAAGGUCCAUAAAACUAAGAGAACAGCUUAAGAGAUUCAUGAACUGCUAUAGAAGACUGUCUAUAAGGCUUCAGAUGAAGGAAAACUUCAUCAUCAAUGUUAAAACUUCUACCUGGACAUCCUUUAUCACCAUAGAAAUUCAUUCAAGCCUGAUCAACGAAUAUUAAAAAAAAGGUUUUCUUUAAGUAAAUGUUGAAUAUGAUCCCUAUCUUUCAAGGUAUUACUAGUUCUUUGUAUAUAACUCAUGGUUGGUGGUGGCUUCUUAUAAACUACCUCAUAGAGAAUCAUUUUAAUUGACUCAUGGUAGGAAGUAUUAUACCUCCAUUCAACCGGUGGAAUCCAUGUAGCCUAUUUUGUUGUUUGAUGUUUGUGAAACAAUGAAGAUGUCUCCAAGCAAUGAUUAACAUGCUCCAACAUUCUAAUUAAGGGUGACACAAUCUUAGCUAGAAAAAUUAAGAAUCAUAAGAGCUACUCAUGUAAUUGAGUUCCUUGCAGCCAACAGAAUUCCUUCGAGAAUGUAUUUAUGAAGACAGGGUCGAUCACUAACUAUAGAAGAUGGCAUUCCAUGGAGAUUGAAUACGCUAUCAAUGAAAAGCUUGGCAGCAAGGUUCACUAUACUGCCCCAAAACGCUCAGCUCAGUUCACUCUAUCGGUUGGGAACAAGAGUCAAACUGCUCAAGACCGAGCGGCUCGAAGUGAUACUAGGACGAACUGCACGAUUCACACCGGUUCGGUCUCAGUUUGCCCAUCACCUCCCCUGCUUCAACAAUAAAGGAUGAAGGUUGAGAAGGCAUAGGAGGCCUUCUAAGCCCCUAUAAAACCCAGCCCAAUCAGUGGACCGGUUGGCCUAGCUAUGGCCUAGUGAUUGAGCAUGGCCCAAAGGUUUGGUCCCAAAGUAAUUGGAGCUCCACCCCUGUUUGAAGCAAAGUCAAAGAAGGAGGCGGACUCUACCUCCUCAAACUCUGAUAGGGCGUGGAGCAUUGGCUAUAAAGAUCCCACUCAAAGUUCACUAUCUCGGUACCAAACCCCAUAAUGGUACCAUCCUAUUACUAUGUCGAUAUGCCCCAUAUAGGGGCCAAUUUGGUAUAUCGACACUCAAUACGCAUUCUAUAUCGCGUACCGGUUUGGUACUGAUAUAGUAUGAUAUGGUCAGCACACACCGAUAUCGAUCGAUACAGCAAAUCUUGCUCCCGUCCAUCCUUCCCACAAAGCCGCAAAGCCAACCCCUCCCUUUCUCUUUCCCAUGAUUUUGCUACCAUUCGCCGCCACUAUGGCUGCAACUCAAACUACAUCGGAAACGAGGCAUCAUCGCAUGCCACCUCUCCAACAUCGUUCCCUCCCACCUCACCGGCAUCAUCUCUCCUUCCGUCCCUACCUCGUACAACUACCGCUGGUCGAGAUAUUGCCAUGAAUCGUUGAUUAUCCCAUGAUUUAGACUCCCCGAUUCUACCAACCCAAUCUUUCCUAUUCAAUUCCAAACAACAUGGCCGCUGAAAUUGUUGCCACUACCCUUCGACUUUCCAGCCAUGAAAGGCUGCUUGCAUCACCAUCUUCUCCGGUCUCCCAUCUCUUCCUCUAGUUUGCAUUAAAAAAAGAAGGAAAGAAGAGGAAGACCCAUUCCUUCUCUUUCUCUCUCUUCUUCUCUCUUGCGCUCUCUCUCUCAUCUCUCUGAUGUAGGGUGAACCCCUAGGGGGUCUUGAUCAACCUUGAUAAAGAUGUUCUGUAAUACCUCAGUAGCCAUGCAACAUGUUGACCCCCAUCCCUUGUGGCACAUUGCUGGACACUAUCACCAUUGAUCCCCAUAGUACUAUUGUACUUUGUCCGAUUUUUGUUCUAUAAUUUGGCCGGUUGGAUUGCCAAAUUAGACUCGGGUCAUUAGAUGCUACUGCCUCGCCAACCCUAAUACUCCACCUUUUUCUUACACUUUUCUAUCAUUGUCCUAAUUUUUUGUCGACAUCUUCUAAUUGUUGGAGUUGAAUUAGUGAGAUAAACUAGUCUAGAUAAAAAGAUGUGGAUAUUAUGAUAUGGUCUACAAAUUAUUUUGAGAAGAAAUUUUUGGAAUUAUCUAAAUUUCCCAGUGUACAUGUGAGGUAAGUAAUACAACUAUUUUUCGAGACUUAUCAGCAAAUUAUAAAAUAUUUUAUGAAUCAAAUUAUUUAUGAUUUAUGAACUUGAUGCAUAGUAUUUUAUUAUUGAAUAUGUUUUUUAAGAAUAUUAUAUGAUUCAUGAUCGAACGUAUUGAUUUCAACAUGGAUCAUGCUCGUCUGAUUUCGAUGUCGCGUGAUUUUAUGUAUCCUUCGAUUUAGAAUAUGAAAUUGCGCGUUGUGUUAAGGCGACCGAUUCAGUACAAGUCUGAAUCAGUCUGAACUGGUAACGAACAGGUCUGAUAGUCGAUCGGUACGUCUACCGAAACUGAUUCGGCGAUCCUUGGGUAUAACUAUGGUCAUAGGUCUUGACUGACGAGAUGAAUUCGAUGUUUUGAAAGAAAUUUAAUUUAUGAACAAAAUUUGAAUUUUAAGAAUAAUUGAAUUCGCAAACAUAAUAUUUUGAUAAUGCUACAUGUUUAAAUUUGAUUUUGAAUUGAUAUACUUCAUAUGCUUAUUUUCAGUAUAUUAUUAUUUAUUUUAAUGCCUAAUUUAUCUAGUUAAGUGUUUCAUUGCUUACUAGGUUAUCUAGCUCAUUAUUCAAUAUCUUACUAUUUUUACAAAUCCUAAGAACUAAUAUGGCAAGAGGAUAUGCUUUGGAAGAGAGUGAUUAGAAGCAGAGUAUAGGUUUCAUUAUUUUAGAUUGAAAAUUUAUUAAAGAUUGAUGUAAUACUAUUGGUUGGAAUCAACGUUCGCCGUACCAGUACCGGACCCCGUACCGGUGCCAUACAGCAUAAUAUCGGUACGGUAUGGUAUGAAAUUUUUUGGACGUACCGAGGGUCAGUAUGCCACCCGUACCGAUACCAAACCAGUAUGGUACAGUACACCCGGCACCGUCCGGUUCGGUACAAUACGGCAUACCAUGAUUAAAAUUUUGUGAUACACUAAGUUUGGAUUUUAAUUAUUUAAAUUUGGACUUAUUUAAUUGGCUAUUUAUUCUACUACUUGCUUUAUGAUAUCAUGAUGAGAUUGCUUACAUGCUUGCAGGGAGAGUUUCUUAUGAGUAUGCAGUGGUUGUCACAACCUCGGCUCGCAAUUUUGGGUCGGCGGCAUGACAAUUAUAAUAGUAUCAGAGGAUAAGUGGAUAAAUCAUAAGACAUAGAAUCAGACAUAGGAUGAGUGUAGGUAGGUAGACACUAGAGACAUUAGCAUGUAAAUUUAUAUUGAUUACAAAAUAAGUUAUUUGAAAAACUAAGAUUCGAAGAUUUCUAAAUAAAGAAAAACACUAUAUAUUCUCUACUUGAUAUUUUUGGUUCUUUUCAUUGGAAAUCAUUUAGUGAAUCUAGAGAAUUUUAGCAGUUUAAUCAAAGUGCGCAACGGAAGUGUAGUGGUGUGAAUUAUUUUGCAGCUGAUUAGACAAGAAUAACUUUAAUUUGAAAGGUGUUAAGAUGAAAGACUAGACUAGGAUCCUCUUUUUUCUUCUUCCCACAUGGAUGAGUUUCGGACUCCGAAACCC
rnacentral:lncRNA from 1 species